GAGUAACGCGUAGGUAAUCUACCCUUAUAUUUGGGAUAACAUUGGGAAACUGGUGCUAAUACCGGAUACCCUUCUUUUCUGCCGGGUUAAGAAGGAAAGGUGGCCUCUUCAUGAAAGCUACCGUAUAGGGAUGAGCCUGCGUACCAUUAGCUAGUAGGUGGGGUAAUGGCCCACCUAGGCAACGAUGGUUAGCGGGUCUGAGAGGAUGAUCCGCCACACUGGAACUGGAACACGGACCAG
rnacentral:rRNA from 1 species